rnacentral:lncRNA from 10 species
GAGGGCAGGGGUCGGGUGGGAGAGGGAUGCAUGGUUAGGAUGCUAAAUUCUCAAGGAUAAACUUUGAUUUUUAAACAGUAGACAACUAUAUUUUAGAUUAUAGGUAAAACAUCACUCUCUGUCAGGGAUAGAGUAAUAUGCAUCGUUUCAUUAAACUCAUUAUUUCUUAAGCAAUGGUUAUGGGGCAGGCAAUGUGUGCGGAGAUGGGAACACAAAGAUGAAUAAAACUUAGCAUCUAGUCAGACACAAAUCCUACUCACUCAAAGGGGGCAUCUUUUAAAAAUAAUAAUUUACAGUAUGGCAACAUGAAUCAGAAACAUCAUUUAAAAUAUAUAUGGUAUCUGAGUAAGCUCCUGGGUUGAAGCAGAUGGGGUGUUUAAGCCUUUUGAAGCCCGGAAGAUGAGUUUCCGGGUGAAGGGGACACACAGACUCCUGUUUUCAAAGCUGACAAGGAAGUAAGCCAAGCAGAGGGAGGAUAGAACAUUGCAGGUGGAAAAAGGAGUAUGCGCAACUCCAGAGAGUAAUAAAACUCUGGUGCUUUGGGGCAACUUUGAAGUGGCUCAGUACUGUUAGAAGGGAAAGUGGUAAGGGAGAGUGCUGGUCCAAAAGUUUCGGUGUACUCAUAAUAUUCUAUGGCUCCAGAGUGUGGAACAGUCUUCUGUAAUGAGAAAGCCACAAGAAAAUCUUCAAGAGGAAAAAACAGAGCUUCAUUUGAAAAAGACCUACUAGGAGCAG